rnacentral:rRNA from 1 species
UACGUAGGGUGCGAGCGUUAAUCGGAAUUACUGGGCGUAAAGCGUGCGCAGGCGGUGAUGUAAGACAGGUGUGAAAUCCCCGGGCUUAACCUGGGAACUGCAUUUGUGACUGCAUCGCUGGAGUGCGGCAGAGGGGGAUGGAAUUCCGCGUGUAGCAGUGAAAUGCGUAGAUAUGCGGAGGAACACCGGUGGCGAAGGCAAUCCCCUGGGCCUGCACUGACGCUCAUGCACGAAAGCGUGGGGAGCAAACAGG